rnacentral:rRNA from 1 species
UACGUAGGGUGCGAGCGUUAAUCGGAAUUACUGGGCGUAAAGCGUGCGCAGGCGGUUCGUUAAGUCAGAUGCGAAAGCCCCGGGCUCAACCUGGGAACUGCAUUUGAAACUGGCGGGCUUGAGUGUGGCAGAGGGGGGUGGAAUUCCGCGUGUAGCAGUGAAAUGCGUAGAGAUGCGGAGGAACACCGAUGGCGAAGGCAGCCCCCUGGGCCAACACUGACGCUCAGGCACGAAAGCGUGGGGAGCAAACAGG